GGACCCUUAGCUCAGUUGGUUAGAGCAUCUGACUCAUAAUCAGGAGGUCACAGGUUCAAGCCCUGUAGGGUCCA
rnacentral:tRNA from 1 species